rnacentral:rRNA from 1 species
CCUACGGGUGGCAGCAGUGGGGGAUAUUGCACAAUGGGGGGAACCCUGAUGCAGCGACGCCGCGUGGGUGAAGGAGUGCUUCGGCAUGUAAAGCCCUAUCGGCAGGGAAGAAGCAAGACGGUACCUGACUAAGAAGCCCCGGCUAACUACGUGCCAGCAGCCGCGGGAAUACGUAGGGGGCGAGCGUUCUCCGGAUUCACUGGGUGUAAAGGGAGCGUAGACGGCCAAGCAAGCCAGGGGUGAAAGCCCGGGGCCCAACCCCGGGACUGCCCUUGGAACUGCAUGGCGGGAGUGCGGGAGGGGCAGGCGGAAUUCCUGGUGGAGCGGUGAAAUGCGUAGAUAUCAGGAGGAACACCGGCGGCGAAGGCGGCCUGCUGGACCGCGACUGACGUUGAGGCUCGAAAGCGUGGGGAGCGAACAGGAUUAGAUACCCCAGUAGUC